rnacentral:lncRNA from 1 species
ACAAGUUGCACAAGAAAUGGGAUGCCCAAACAUGAAAAGAAAGUCAAUGCAUGGAGCUCCUCUGCCACUGCUGUUGCCGCAAAUAUUCAACAUCAUUGUUUCUCACAGAUGCGGCGGGAGCAAUUCGGCAUCUAAAAGUGGAGCCACUUGAAAACUCCUAAGGAAAGAAGCAAAUGAGAAACCAACUUGCCGCUUUGAUUCAUUCCAAUGUCAUACAGCCCAUCAUCAAUUGCCACAAAAACGC